CUACGCAUCGGCCGAGAUGAGGGCAAUGUUGUGUGUUUGUAGCUAAUAUUGCACUUGUCCCGGCCUAUGUGUGG
rfam:Anopheles maculatus strain maculatus3 cont1.37221, whole genome shotgun sequence.